GAUGAACGCUAGCUACAGGCUUAACACAUGCAAGUCGAGGGGAAACGGCAUUGAGUGCUUGCACUCUUUGGACGUCGACCGGCGCACGGGUGAGUAACGCGUAUCCAACCUUCCCAUUACUGUGGGAUAACCUGCCGAAAGGCAGACUAAUACCGCAUAGUCUUCGAUGACGGCAUCAGAUUUGACGUAAAGAUUUAUCGGUAAUGGAUGGGGAUGCGUCUGAUUAGCUUGUUGGCGGGGUAACGGCGCACCAAGGCUACGAUCAGUAGGGGUUCUGAGAGGAAGGUCCCCCACAUUGGAACUGAGACACGGUCCAAACUCCUACGGGAGGCAGCAGUGAGGAAUAUUGGUCAAUGGACGGAAGUCUGAACCAGCCAAGUAGCGUGCAGGAUGACGGCCCUAUGGGUUGUAAACUGCUUUUGUAUGGGGAUAAAGUUAGGGACGUGUCCCUAUUUGCAGGUACCAUACGAAUAAGGACCGGCUAAUUCCGUG
rnacentral:rRNA from 1 species